GAAACAUUUCCGAACAACUUAUUUUGGAUCAACGGAUCUCCACUGUUGGCAAUGCAUGCACAUGAAAUAUAUAUAUUUAUAAAUUUUUACGGUAUAUGGGUGAAAAUAGGCCUCCUGGGGUACCGAACACCCAAAAAAAUCAGUAACGCGCCUAAUUGCAUACCUCAUGGUGGUGUCGAAAAUGCAAUAUAGAUAAGUACAUAUAAGGAAAUGUAUAAAAAUCUAACGAAAUAAGACAUAUAAUAUUUGGCACAGAAAAAAUCCUGUUUUUAUUUAAACAAAAUAUUUAUAUUAUUAGGUUAGAUAUUUAAAUUCUUUCAAUGAAUGCAAAUAGAGGUGUUGCAAAUGAAGAAAUUGCCCAUGAUUCUAACUUUUGUUGGGUGUGAGUACUAUAAUACUCGCCACAUAUUAGCUUUGAAAACAAUUAGAUGCACACUAAAACAUUUACUUUGGUAAAAGCAAUUUGAUCGUAGGACUAUUGUAAUUUGCAUAUAAACAGUUUUGUAUCAUUUAAAACGUAAUGUUUGUUUCUUUUCAUCGGAACAUAUUUUUUGCAACUUCCCUUUCCAAAUCGUUGACAUACAUAAAUCAGUUUCCAAAUUUAAAUCACUAUGUAAGCAAUCUAAAGCAUCAGGGCGUCUAUUAUUAAAAUUAUAUGUAAUGUUAAUUUCAUCCCAAAGACACCAAAACUUAUUAUAAAUUCCUUCCAAAACGAUAUACCGAUCAUGCACUAAUGGGCGGGUUCACCCGACACAUUUAUUAAGUGAAUUAAAAAUUGUAACGUCUAAAAUACAAACAUUUCCCAUUUAUAUAAAAAAAUAAGUAAACAAAAUUAAAUAUUACUAAAAUACUUAAAAGCUAUAGCUUAGUAUAAUAUUUAUAUAUAUAUAUACAUACAUAUAUAUAUAUAGACAAUAGUAAUAUAUAAAAUGCCAAAAUUUGCCAGAACCCAGUUUUGAAUAUACUCGUAAAAAAAAGAAAGAAGGCAAAGAAGAAAUAGGACACAAGAAAUGGUCUCGAAAAUUAUAUAUCUAUAUAUUAAUUUUGAAGCAAUUUUGUCCCAAAAACCUACAUAUGCGAAACACAUAAUUUUUUGCCCUAAAGUGAGGAGUAUUUAGGUCC